CCAUGCCUGAGCUCUCUUCACUAGACCGUACUAUCUCUUGCCGUUUCCUUCACCACUUCUUAUGAGCCUCCUUGGGGAAGUCGGGGUCUCAACUGUUCUCUGCUCUGCCGCAGCCACUUAGGUUUUGCUCCACGGUGUCUCCGAAGGAUUUAUUUUCUCCAUCCUGCUUUGUGCUUCCCCUUCUAGCUCAGCAGAAGCCCGCUGUCAUCAUCCACUUUCUUCACCUGUCCCGUGAGGGGGUGAUGGUAAGAGAGGGGCUUCGAUACUGAUGAUUCAAAGAAAACUUCCAGCAUCUCUUUGUUUGAGAUCCUGUCUUUCACCCUGAUGUAAAGUGUGGCGCAUAGGCAGCCUUGGAGAAGUGGACUGUGACAUCGGUGGAAGAUCCAGCUCUCGCAGCCUUAAAGAGAGGCAGACACCAAACUUCACUUUCUGCAAGAAGCCUUCCCAGAUGAAUUCCCACCACUGGAGUCACAGGAUCUGGCACCAUGCAAACCAAUAGUAGCACUUGGUUGUUGAUCUGGACAGAGGCAUCUCUUUCCUCUACGGUGGGAGACUCUUUCAUCACAUCCACAACACAGUCAUCACUGUUUUGACAGCUCAUUGUGGACGGGGAAUAUGUCUGCAACAUUGAAUUCUCCCAAGCACUGAGUACAGUGCUUGGCAUAGAGUAAGCACUCAGUAUUAUUGAUUGCUCAUCAGAUGGAGAUGGAAACACAGUGUAAUGUCGAUGAGGAUGAUGAUGAUGAUGGAAUCUCCGGCUGAGAACAGUGGAGAGCGUCCCCCGAGGAAGAGAGGUGCCUGAGAAUGGUUUGGGUGGUGCCACCUACCUUAAAUUCCACCUAAGCACUAA